UUAAGCGACUAAGCGUACACGGUGGAUGCCCUGGCAGUCAGAGGCGAUGAAGGGCGUGCUAAUCUGCGAUAAGCGCCGGUAAGGUGAUAUGAACCGUUAUAACCGGCGAUACCCGAAUGGGGAAACCCAGUGUGAUUCGUCACACUAUCAUUAACUGAAUCCAUAGGUUAAUGAGGCGAACCGGGGGAACUGAAACAUCUAAGUACCCCGAGGAAAAGAAAUCAACCGAGAUUCCCCCAGUAGCGGCGAGCGAACGGGGAGGAGCCCAGAGUCUGAAUCAGCAUGUGUGUUAGUGGAAGCGUCUGGAAAGGCGCGCGAUACAGGGUGACAGCCCCGUACACAAAAGCGCAUGUGCUGUGAGCUCGAUGAGUAGGGCGGGACACGUGGUAUCCUGUCUGAAUAUGGGGGGACCAUCCUCCAAGGCUAAAUACUCCUGACUGACCGAUAGUGAACCAGUACCGUGAGGGAAAGGCGAAAAGAACCCCGGCGAGGGGAGUGAAAAAGAACCUGAAACCGUGUACGUACAAGCAGUGGGAGCACAGGUUUACCUGUGUGACUGCGUACCUUUUGUAUAAUGGGUCAGCGACUUAUAUUCUGUAGCAAGGUUAACCGUAUAGGGGAGCCGGAGGGAAACCGAGUCUUAAUUGGGCGUUAAGUUGCAGGGUAUAGACCCGAAACCCGGUGAUCUAGCCAUGGGCAGGUUGAAGGUUGGGUAACACUAACUGGAGGACCGAACCGACUAAUGUUGAAAAAUUAGCGGAUGACCUGUGGCUGGGGGUGAAAGGCCAAUCAAACCGGGAGAUAGCUGGUUCUCCCCGAAAGCUAUUUAGGUAGCGCCUCGUGAACUCAUCUCCGGGGGUAGAGCACUGUUUCGGCUAGGGGGCCAUCCCGGCUUACCAACCCGAUGCAAACUGCGAAUACCGGAGAAUGUUAUCACGGGAGACACACGGCGGGUGCUAACGUCCGUCGUGAAGAGGGAAACAACCCAGACCGCCAGCUAAGGUCCCAAAGUCAUGGUUAAGUGGGAAACGAUGUGGGAAGGCCCAGACAGCCAGGAUGUUGGCUUAGAAGCAGCCAUCAUUUAAAGAAAGCGUAAUAGCUCACUGGUCGAGUCGGCCUGCGCGGAAGAUGUAACGGGGCUAAACCAUGCACCGAAGCUGCGGCAGCGAACGUAUCACUUAAAGCGAUUCAGCGGGUUACGAUUGACGGAGCGAAGCGACGUCAAAGCGUAUACAAAGUCGAGUCGGUUUAAGGAUACGUUCGUUGGGUAGGGGAGCGUUCUGUAAGCCUGUGAAGGUGGCCUGUGAGGGUUGCUGGAGGUAUCAGAAGUGCGAAUGCUGACAUAAGUAACGAUAAAGCGGGUGAAAAGCCCGCUCGCCGGAAGACCAAGGGUUCCUGUCCAACGUUAAUCGGGGCAGGGUGAGUCGACCCCUAAGGCGAGGCCGAAAGGCGUAGUCGAUGGGAAACGGGUUAAUAUUCCCGUACUUGGUGUUACUGCGAAGGGGGGACGGAGAAGGCUAUGUUGGCCGGGCGACGGUUGUCCCGGUUUAAGCGUGUAGGUGUGUGUUCCAGGUAAAUCCGGUUCACUUUAACACUGAGGCGUGAUGACGAGGCACUACGGUGCUGAAGCAACAAAUGCCCUGCUUCCAGGAAAAGCCUCUAAGCAUCAGGUAACAUCAAAUCGUACCCCAAACCGACACAGGUGGUCAGGUAGAGAAUACCAAGGCGCUUGAGAGAACUCGGGUGAAGGAACUAGGCAAAAUGGUGCCGUAACUUCGGGAGAAGGCACGCUGACACGUAGGUGAAGUGAUUUACUCACGGAGCUGAAGUCAGUCGAAGAUACCAGCUGGCUGCAACUGUUUAUUAAAAACACAGCACUGUGCAAACACGAAAGUGGACGUAUACGGUGUGACGCCUGCCCGGUGCCGGAAGGUUAAUUGAUGGGGUCAGCGCAAGCGAAGCUCCUGAUCGAAGCCCCGGUAAACGGCGGCCGUAACUAUAACGGUCCUAAGGUAGCGAAAUUCCUUGUCGGGUAAGUUCCGACCUGCACGAAUGGCGUAAUGAUGGCCAGGCUGUCUCCACCCGAGACUCAGUGAAAUUGAACUCGCUGUGAAGAUGCAGUGUACCCGCGGCAAGACGGAAAGACCCCGUGAACCUUUACUAUAGCUUGACACUGAACAUUGAGCCUUGAUGUGUAGGAUAGGUGGGAGGCUUUGAAGCGUGGACGCCAGUCUGCGUGGAGCCGACCUUGAAAUACCACCCUUUAAUGUUUGAUGUUCUAACGUGGACCCGUUACCCGGGUUGCGGACAGUGUCUGGUGGGUAGUUUGACUGGGGCGGUCUCCUCCUAAAGAGUAACGGAGGAGCACGAAGGUUGGCUAAUCCUGGUCGGACAUCAGGAGGUUAGUGCAAUGGCAUAAGCCAGCUUGACUGCGAGCGUGACGGCGCGAGCAGGUGCGAAAGCAGGUCAUAGUGAUCCGGUGGUUCUGAAUGGAAGGGCCAUCGCUCAACGGAUAAAAGGUACUCCGGGGAUAACAGGCUGAUACCGCCCAAGAGUUCAUAUCGACGGCGGUGUUUGGCACCUCGAUGUCGGCUCAUCACAUCCUGGGGCUGAAGUAGGUCCCAAGGGUAUGGCUGUUCGCCAUUUAAAGUGGUACGCGAGCUGGGUUUAGAACGUCGUGAGACAGUUCGGUCCCUAUCUGCCGUGGGCGCUGGAGAACUGAGGGGGGCUGCUCCUAGUACGAGAGGACCGGAGUGGACGCAUCACUGGUGUUCGGGUUGUCAUGCCAAUGGCACUGCCCGGUAGCUAAAUGCGGAAGAGAUAAGUGCUGAAAGCAUCUAAGCACGAAACUUGCCCCGAGAUGAGUUCUCCCUGAGACUUAAAGUCUCCUGAAGGAACGUUGAAGACGACGACGUUGAUAGGCCGGGUGUGUAAGCGCAGCGAUGCGUUGAGCUAACCGGUACUAAUGAACCGUGAGGCUUAACCUU
rnacentral:rRNA from 1 species